GUUGGAAAACAAAAGGAAUAAGCUAAUAUGUUUUAUUUCCUUCAUUAAACCAAUGUAUGAAUAUUUUUAAUUUGGCAGCCGACAAAUCAACAUAUUGAAACAAGUAAUACAGGGUACUGAGCAUUUCUCUAUCAGCGAAUCAAUGCCUACAGUUCUUAUGAACCACUGCACAGUUUGACACUCUAAUAGUACUGUACCUCAGAACAUGGAAAUCAACUAGUUCUCACAUUGCUUGUCUACUUAUUCUCUUUUUCAAGGAAACAACUAGCAUUGUUCAAUGGUGAUUUAAAAGCAAAAAUGUCUUAAGAAAACAGAAAAUGUUGCUGUGUUAUUAUGUAAAUAAUUAAACAUGCUGUAAAUGAAUAGUCAAUAGAUACAAAUCAUUGUUUAGUUUUUUUUCUUUUUUAGUUUUUAUUUAAUUUU
rnacentral:lncRNA from 1 species